CCUACGGGUGGCAGCAGUGGGGAAUAUUGCACAAUGGGGGAAACCCUGAUGCAGUAACGCCGCGUGAGUGAAGAAGUAUUUCGGUAUGUAAAGCUCUAUCAGCAGGGAAGAAGAUGACUGUACCUGAUUAAGAAGACCCGGCUAAAUACGUGCCAGCAGCCGCCGGAAUACGAAGGGGGCAAGCGGUAUCCGGAUUUACUGGGGGUGAAGGGAGCGGCGAGGGCAGUGCAAGGCUGGAGUGAAAGCCCGGGGCCCAACCCCGGAACUGGUCUGGAAACUGGGCGGCUAGAGUACCGGAGGGGCAGGCGGAAUUUCUAGUGUAGCGGUGAGAUGCGUAGAUAUUAGGAGGAACACCAGUGGCGAAGGCGGCCUGCUGGACAGUAACUGACGUUGAGGCUCGAAAGCGUGGGGAGCAAACAGGAUUAGAUACCCCUGUAGUC
rnacentral:rRNA from 1 species